rnacentral:tRNA from 1 species
GUUGGAGUGGCAGAGCCCGGUUCACAUUGCAAAAGGCCUAAGCCCUUUGUACAGAGGUUCAAAUCCUCUCUUCAACU